UCGCUGGUCAGUCUCACACCUGUCUUGAUAAAAGGUCUGAUAAGAGCCCCUGCCUGUUGUGGAGACUGUAGAUCUGUGGAAUACGAAACACUUUACAUUAACUUGUCCUCAUACCAAACUUUUCUGUAUUAAAGCAUAACUCCCUUAGCUUUACUCAACAUCACACAGGAUUCAAGCAGCUGCCCCAGGUUCUGGUGGGCAGAUAGAAAGGCAUUGCUUUUGGUGCCCAUUGCUGUGCUGAACUUUUCAUACGUUUUCAUUGCUUCUUAAUGAAUACUUGUGGAACCAAACCGAGACCGGCUCUUCUCAUAUUUGGGAUUAAAGAACACAACAAAUUUAAUGACCCCAACAUGAUCCUGAAGAGAAGUUUUGACCAGAAAGACCAGAGACCCAGAGGUCGAGGCCUAUCGAUUCUCCACAUACUCACAAGGCGCAAAACAAAAAGGUAGGCAGAAAAGGAGAGGAAAAAGGAGGUAAAGCAAUAAAGUCCUGUGUUUUUGGGAAGCAAAGAAAAGGUACAGCAAAGCAAUGUGAAAUCAAGGGAAUGAACAAAGGUUGUUUGUAACAGAAAAUAAGUCUAAAAGAUAAAAAAAAGCUAGGUCUGGGACCUGCGCAGGACGGGCACCACACUUCUGUGACGCACAAACCCUUAAAACUAAUUCAGAUUUAAAAAAAGAAGACGACUCAGGCAGUAGUUUGCAGUUUGGUUCUUUUAUCCCAAAUAUGGGAAGAGCCGGUCUCGGUUUGGUUCUACAGGUGGAUUAAACAAUAGCCCGGUUUGACACUGGAAUACAACGAGAGUCAUUUUUGUGCCUCUCUCUUCCUGGUGGUCUUCCUCAUUCUAACGAGAUGAAGUACUAAUCACUCAUCCACAGGAAGAGUGGUUCAGUGGAUGAAAAGGGUGUGUCUCCGUGUGUGAUUGUGUGUGUUUGUCUGUGUUUGUAUGAUGCAGGAGGAUCCAGAGAGAAGCCGCAGCUAGGGUCAUUCUGUCAGACACGAUCCUUGACCUGAAGAAACCGCCCUAGUUUCCCUGAUGCACUCUGGCUUUGAGCUACAGCCUUAAACAAUAGAAGAAGAAGAAGAAGAAGAAGAAGAAGAAGAAGUAGAAGUAGAAGCUGCAGUCUUCACCUGGCUGAAUCUUUUGUGAACUUCCGAAUAAUUAUUGACUGUGCGAUCAAUUCUGUUCUAUCUGUUCUAUAUUAAACUGUAACUUAUACAGAG